rnacentral:rRNA from 1 species
GAGAAUGGGGUAAGAAUCGGGGCAAUUGCACCAUUUUCGUCGUCGGGAUGUUUGAGCAAUGGGUUGAUCUGUUUAGUGUUCAUGCAGGUGACAUGCUUCUUUCUUUGGGUCGAUGCUCUGGCCAAGACUCUGAUGAAUGAACUGCAAGAAGAGCAUGAAGAAUGGUUGCGCAUGUUGCCACGAACGGCAGUGGCCACACCACGAGCUCCGGAAGAAGAGAUGGAUGGCGAAGCACGCACUGACAGAGAGCUAGCUAUUGAGCUUAGGAUGUUGAAGAAGAAGGUUAGGAAGCUUGAAGAUCAAGCACUACCAAUACCCAUUUGCAAAUACUUUUGGACAUUUGUAGGUAUGGUUGCUCUUGGGCCAAAUUCAGAGCGUAGAUCCAAGUGCAGGCUAGACUAA